UACGUAGGGGGCAAGCGUUAUCCGGAAUUAUUGGGCGUAAAGAGCUCGUAGGCGGUUUGUCGCGUCUGCUGUGAAAACUGGAGGCUCAACCUCCAGCCUGCAGUGGGUACGGGCAAGCUAGAGUGCGGUAGGGGAGAUUGGAAUUCCUGGUGUAGCGGUGGAAUGCGCAGAUAUCAGGAGGAACACCGAUGGCGAAGGCAGAUCUCUGGGCCGUAACUGACGCUGAGGAGCGAAAGCAUGGGGAGCGAACAGG
rnacentral:rRNA from 1 species